UACGAGGGCUUCAAGCGUUAUCCGGAAUUACUGUGCGUAAAGCGCACGCAGGCGGUCUGUCAAGUCGGAUGUGAAAUCCCCGGGCUCAACCUGGGAACUGCAUCCGAAACUGGCAGGCUAGAGUCUUGUAGAGGGGGUAGAAUUCCAGGUGUAGCGGUGAAAUGCGUAGAGAUCUGGAGGAAUACCGGUGGCGAAGGCGGCCCCCUGGACAAAGACUGACGCUCAGGUGCGAAAGCGUGGGGAGCAAACAGG
rnacentral:misc_RNA from 1 species